AUCCUUAUGAAUGCAAUGAGGACUUUUAUUUUGGCAGAUGAGCAGAUCUGUCUGUCUGGGUUUCACCCAUCACAUCUUCAUCACAUUCGGACAUAUAAUCACUGUUUUCCAUCUCUCCUGCCGCUGUCAUCGCCUGUUUUUCGAUCCAGGAUAAUUAUCUACCUUUUUACCGUCGCGUGGUCCACUAUAUGUGUUUCAGCAGCAGAAAUGGACAACAGCUCGACGACUUGUCCAUUUGACACACAGGGCUACAGUUCAACAUUUAAGCGGAAACGAACAGUGGAAGAUUUCAACAAGUUCUGUACUUUUGUGCUCGCAUAUGCCGGUUAUAUUCCUUAUCCACAGGAGAAAUGGUGGUGGCUCUUAUGUCAUGGCCGCUGAGAGACAUCCCCCCUCCAAAAAAACCUCAGCCCUCCCUCCCUGGGUAAGAGGGCCACUCCAGUCUCCUCCAUUCUCAUCCCAGACCUUGUCUCUUAAGUGCCAUUCUUCACAACAGCAGUGUGUGUGCAUCCACAAACACUUCAGUUUCAGGUCUUCCCUUUAAUGGAUCCUUCAAAUGGAUGGAGGCUAAAUCAAGGAAAAUCUGUUGCAGGGAAAUGCAUGAGGGCCGAUAAUUGCCCCAAAUGUUCCAAAACCCAGUGUGCUGUCUACAUAGGGUGCUGCCUUCUAAGGAAACAUCCUAUCUGCUAACAUACAGUGCAUGGGACACUCAACUCUCAAAUGACACUGGCAUGAUGGUUAGAUAAUAAUAAAAUGGGGGUACAUAUAUAUAUAUAUAUAUAUAUAUAUAUAUAUAUACAUAAAA
rnacentral:lncRNA from 1 species